GUUUGUUACUCCUAAACAGUAAAUAAACCAACAGAAAAGCAGAUUUAGUUGCGGGAUGUGCUGAGAUUUACUGAAGAUCCACGACAACAUCAGAACAAACCGACUCUUCGACAGCAAAGGACAGGGGUCCGCUCUGGUGGAAGCAGGCUGGAAGGCCAAACCCUCUGAGAAUCCUCAGCAGAGUGAUGGGCGUGUUUAUCGGGUCACAGCAGUGGAGAGCGAGCCCCGGCCUGAAACUUCUGCUGCCCACUGAUUCCGGCGUUGUCCUCAUUCUGUCCACGGCAGCUCGGCCAAAACACGUCCGUCUAAUCAGCCUCUCGACCUCGAUAAGCACCACCUCUAUAUCUGUCUCUGAGCGCUGCUCGGAAAACGGGGGACUUUUUUUGUGUGUUUUUCCACCAUUUUUUCAAUGUUUGUGAAUCAGUGGAUUUAUUUAUUUAUUAAUUUACUUAUUUAUCAUGUUUUUCACUAAAGUGUUUGGCACAUCCGUCCAGCCCUCCCUGUUCCAGCCGACGGUCCAGAGUAGUAGUAGUAGUAGUAGUAGUAGUGGUAUCAGCGCUGCUCUGGGAUUUAAA